AGACUCUUCUAGGUCAAAUAGAUUACAGGUAGGAAAUUUGAGAUGUGCUACCUGAGGGAAGACACCAACAGCAGUAGCACAUGACGUCUCAUAAGGACAAGAGUUUGAAAAGUGUAACAAGCAGAUGGGUGCUACUCUUUACAGAGAGAGAUCGCGUGUGGCUGAGUGAAGCCUGAGGAUACGUUAUAUAAAUAAAUUUAUAAACCUGUUUCUGAAAAUACGCUGAAUCGUUUUAGUUAUACUCUUUUGAGAAAGCAAGGAUGAAACUGGCAAAAAAAAUGUUAACACUUUUGUUUGUUUUCACAUAGAUGGAAUACAUCAUUACCAUCUUCUGUUAAGUGAAGUAUUACGGGAGUAGUUAUUUCAGGAUUUUGUCAGCAAAUUAAACUCUGAGAAAAUUUAUAUGAUGUCCAACUUAAAAGAGCAUUGUAUUAAAUAUGACCUCUUUUGAAAUGGGCCCUUGCUUACAGUAGUUAGUCAAGAAGAAUUAUCUCCUUAUAUCCUUCCAUUUUGUUUCCAGGUAUCGUGAUUUCCGGUACCCACCUGGACACCCACAAGAGUAUAAACACAACAUCUAUUACUGGCACGUGAUUGCAGCCAAGUUGGCUUUUAUCAUUGUCAUGGAGCACAUCAUCUACUCUGUGAAAUUUUUUAUCUCCUAUGCAAUUCCAGAUGUAUCCAAAAGCACGAAGAGCAAGAUCAAGAGAGAAAAAUACCUAACGCAAAAGCUUCUUCACGAAAAUCACCUCAAAGAUGUGACAAAAAAUAUGGGGGUCAUAGCUGAGAGGAUGGUGGAAGUGGUAGAUAACAAUUUACGACCCAAAUUAGAAUAAGAGCUUUAUGUUCUGAGAAGCACUUUACAGAAUUUAACUCCGUCAAAAUAUAUUAUGAAUCACUAAUGAGGAUGUCUGAGUGAAAACACUUUGGCAAAUAGGAGUCUUAGCUAUUGCCAUUUUCAUAUAGAUUAUUUUUUGGUUUCAGCCAGCCACGCAGGAACUGGAAAGUGCGAAGCUUAGAUCAAGAAGUGCAUAAAACUAAUCACCUGGAAAACCAGAAAUGUUACCCUUUUUUGAUAAAUUUGAAUUUCAGUAACACAGAAAAAGUCUCUUCGUGUGCUUAAAAACUACCCCUUCUGAAGCAGAAUGGAUUUCUGUCCCUCCGUCUGAUUAUUUUCAUUUCUUUCUGUUCUCAAGCACAUGGUCCCCUUUAAGGCAGUGUUUCAUUUCUUCACUUAGCCAAAUCUGUGCCAGAGUUCUCUUUCCCUUACAGUACUUUUGUUAAAGACGAGACAUGCUUCCCUUUGUGUGAUUAAAAAUAGCUAACUCAGAAUUUCAGUUUGAAUGCCAUAUUAAGUGGCAGAUAGACUCAAGAAUUCACAAUAUGUCGGUGUGUUAGCACAUCCCUACAGAAAACGAAACCUCACUUAGUAAGAGGGAAUAGUUUCCGUCUCCAAUUUGGCCUAUCUUUUCAUCUCAAAGAAACACACUUAAUGGAUCGGAAUAAAGAUAGCAAGGUUCUGAAGUGUAUUUGUGCUAAUCCGCAGUGACACUUUUUAUCUUCCAGGAGCACUCUUAGAACAUUCUGUGCCUAAUCAGUGUUGACUGCUUUGCAGAUCUCAAGGGAGUCAGAUGACAAAAGUAGGGAAAGUUAUAGAUUCAAAUAGAAUUGUAACUCCUAUUGACCAGAAUAAUUAAUGUACCUCUUCUAAAGAUACGUAGUUUCUUAAAAUUACAUUUUUAUCAACAUAAUGGUCUGGAAGGACAAGCCCAUCCGUUUGCCACCAGUUUCCUUUUAUGCAUUAGAUCCAGGAGGUACAGCAUCACAGAUCACAGGCAUCGCCAGGAACCGCUCACUGUGCAGCCACUGUGACAUGAGGGUGCUGUGCACACGCGCUUAAGAGUACAACCGGUGCCCUAAUUGUGAGGCGCUCAGGGUUCCCUGCGUGGGGAGCGCCUUUUCCACAAGGAUUCCGGGUAUCCAAGUGAUGAGCAUACCAAAGCAUGUGCCAUGGUGAAGGUGGUUCCCUGCAGCCUCCAUUCCCUUGUUCCCAGCCCAGUAACUUGUCUGUAACUGCACGCACCAGGGGAGUGGUGGGCAGAGGAGAGAGGCAGGGAUAGACCCGCAUCACUCCCAAUCCAGAAGAGACACUCUGGUGUUGAUUUGAGCUUCCAGCCUCCCUCAGGCUGCGGUUUGGUCACAACCCCUUCCCUGAACUGCACGUAACUUCCCGCUGAAUGCCUGCACCACGCACAUGUUGUCUUCAGGUGGUUCAACUCAGCAGUCUUUACUAUGCUUUACUGCCUUUCAGGUGCAAGGCCCUCUGGUAGGCUCCGGACAAGACACGGGGCCUCACCGCUCACCCUUGACUGGUAACGGGGGAGUGCCGGGGGUAAGAGAGGGUGGCUGGCACUGGGUUCUUACCGGGUGGACUGCCACCCACUGGGGUGCUGCUACAUGCCCAAGUGCCAUAGGAGCCGAGCCACUCAAUCCCAGCAGCAGAGGAAACCUGUUGCAGCGAGCAGAUGUAGAGGCUCGAUAUAAUAGAGCUGCUUAACUCAAGGCCACGAUUCUAAGUGCCUGCCAUGAAUGUUCAAACAGACCCAGAAACCAAAAUCACUAUUUAUGUAGGAUUCAUCAAAGCACUAUCCUGAACUUUUGCGUUGUCCCAAUGGACAAGGGACAACAUUUCACUAACUUUCUUGAUCACGUUAACAAUGUGAACGAGUGCUCACAACAGGCCGCACGCGCUCUGACUGCACAGGGAGUGAGAAAGGAGUUUCGUCCCGGCUUCUCGUCCCGCCCAGACUGGGUGCAGCUGUUCCUUUCCCUGCUCACCUGUGACGCCGCUCCCGGAGUGGCGUCACUUCUGCCCCUCGUACCUCAGCUCUUUGAAGCGCAGGACUAUCUCCUCAUGUUGGAUUUGCCAACUACUCACUGUUUAUGGGAGCGUAGAGAAGGAAAUGUUUUUUUGCCUUAUCUCCUUGUAUAUAAACUAGAACUUUAAAAAGUGUGCAUGUGUGUUUUUCAUAAACCAUCUUUCAUAAAUUGCCUUCAUAGUUUAAAAUGUGCUUUUGUGGACAGGAGGGGGAAAAACUCUACAUUUUUAAAGGCAGAAAAUACGUGUGACACUGCCAAUAGUCCCCUAAGCAGCGAGGUAGUGGGGAUCCGGGGUCACCUGUGACACCACAGUGUUAAUGGAACUCUAGUGCUGACUUGUCAGUGUGAAGACAAAUGUGGGACUGUGUCUGCAGGCAGUCACUGGGCUGGAUCUGUAAAUGUAAGCAGCAGCACCCCAAGAAAAAGGGGGUGUGCGACAGUGCCCCUGUGAAAGGAAUACCUAGCCCUAGACCUGCCCAGUGUUAACCACUAGAGAACGUUUCAUUUUAUAUCCUUUUGUAAUGCCUGUGAAUUUUAACAUUGAAGCAUUAGACCAAAAUACUCAGGAGAUUUUCCUUUAAAUAUCCCUCAAAUAUUUUAGAUGUGUCAAUAGAAAGGGAAAGCUAUCAUUUUUGUUUGAAAACUAAGCAAGGCCAUCUUGUAAACUGUCACCAAAUGCCUUCCCUUGUAAUUAUCCGUGGGUGCAUCUUGGAUUUCAGAAAACAUUAAUUCACUGGGGGGGAGGGGGGAUGGGCAGAAUGUGCUCUGUUAUUGAAACACUGCUUGUACCAUUUUCUCAUUGUGCCUAUUAUAUGUUAAGAUGUUUGAAAACUUAAAAUGUAUGAGCAGCUUAACGAAAGAACUGAAAUAUACAUGAUGCUUUCAUACACUGUGGCAUAAGAUGUAAAGUUUGUAAUGUUUUGUGAAUUUCUGUGCAUUUUAAUAUUCUUUUAUAAUUAUAAGCAUUUUAGUAAAUUCAUUUUUAAAAACA